rnacentral:rRNA from 1 species
GAAACGACUGCUAAGACUGGAUAGGAAACAAAAAGGCAUCUUUUUGUUUUUAAAAGACCUUCUUACGAAGGUAUGCUUAAAGAGGGGCUUGCGCCACAUUAGUUAGUUGGUAGAGUAAAAGCCUACCAAGACGAUGAUGUGUAGCUGGACUGAGAGGUUGAACAGCCACAUUGGGACUGAGACACGGCCCAAACUCCUACGGGAGGCAGCAGUAGGGAAUUUUCGGCAAUGGAGGAAACUCUGACCGAGCAACGCCGCGUGAACGAUGAAGUAUUUCGGUAUGUAAAGUUCUUUUAUUGAAGAAGAAAAAGUAGUGGAAAAACUAUAUUGACGUUAUUCAAUGAAUAAGCCCCGGCUAACUAUGUGCCAGCAGCCGCGGUAAGACAUAGGGGGCGAGCGUUAUCCGGAAUUAUUGGGCGUAAAGGGUGCGUAGGCUGUUAGAUAAGUCUAUAAUUUAAUUUCAGUGCUUAACGCUGUCUUGUUAUAGAAACUGUCUUGACUAGAGUGAGAUAGAGGCAAGCGGAAUUCCAUGUGUAGCGGUAAAAUGUGUAAAUAUAUGGAGGAACACCAGAAGCGUAGGCGGCUUGCUGGGUCUUUACUGACGCUGAGGCACGAAAGCGUGGGUAGCAAACAGGAUUAGAUACCCUGGUAGUCCACGCCGUAAACGAUGAGUACUAAGUGUCGGGGUAAAACUCGGUACUGAAGUUAACACAUUAAGUACUCCGCCUGAGUAGUACGUACGCAAGUAUGAAACUUAAAGGAAUUGACGGGACUCCGCACAAGCGGUGGAUCAUGUUGUUUAAUUCGAAGAUACCCGAAAAAUCUUACCAGGUCUUGACAUACUCUGCAAAGCUAUAGAAAUAUAGUGGAGGUUAUCAGGAAUACAGGGGGUGCAUGGUUGUCGUCAGUUCGUGUCGUGAGAUGUUAGGUUAAGUCCUAAAACGAGCGCAACCCUUGUCGUUAAUUGCCAGCACAUAAUGGUGGGGACUUUAACGAGACUGCCAAUUAAACAUUGGAGGAAGGUGAGGAUUACGUCAAAUCAUCAUGCCCCUUAUGAUCUGGGCUACAAACGUGAUACAAUGGCUGUGACAAAGAGUAGCUGAAACGCGAGUUUUUAGCCAAUCUCAAAAAAGCAGUCUCAGUUCGGAUUGAAGUCUGUAACUCGACUUCAUGAAGUUGGAAUCGCUAGUAAUCGCGAAUCAGCAUGUCGCGGUGAAUACGUUCUCGGGGUUUGUACACACCGCCCGUCAAA